UUAAAUCAAAUUUUUAUAAAAGUAGGCCGUUUACCAAGGACCAACUCCUAAAAGAGCAACCGAAGUAAUCAUAAAUAAGACACCUAAAAUUGAAUAAUAAUAAAAAAAACAUUGAUUUGUGUUCAAUCAAUCGCCCAAAAUUCUUGAUAAGGCCUGAACAAGGUAGGGUCAAGAUCAGGAUUGAAUACAAUAAAAGCUUAGGCUUAGAGCAUACAUAUCUCGUAAUUGUGCAUGCAAGAGCCGGUGGUCCAUGGUUUUUGCAACCGAUAAAGUUUACAAUAAGGCUACGAGCGAUAGGCCUCCAAUUGCAAAUAAGGAGCAGGGGGAACAUAAAUAUGAAAGGAGCUUGCCACCAAACUCAUUUUCCUUUAUCGGGACGGUACAGAAGUAACAACCAAGACUGCAUUCCUUUCUAAUGCAACCCUUUUUGACUUCAAUAUUGUUUUUAUUUAUUUUAAUUUUUAUUGUUAUUUUUAUCUUUUAAUGCAAGC
rnacentral:lncRNA from 1 species